rnacentral:rRNA from 1 species
GGGCCUCAGGUCAGAUGAGGCGACCCGCUGAAUUUAAGCAUAUUAAUAAGCGGAGGAAAAGAAACUAACCAGGAUUCCCCCAGUAGCGGCGAGUGAAGCGGGAACAGCCCAAGCCUGUAAUCUCCGGUGCCUUGCAUCGGCGAAUUGUAGUCUGGAGAAGGGCCAUCCCCGCAGCGUCCUCCCGAAGUCGCCGAGGAAAGGCGCGCCAGAGAGGGUGAUAGCCCCGUGCGUGGGAGCGACUGACYGUGGGACACGAGGCCUCUUCGGAGAGUCGGGUUGUUUGGGAUUGCAGCCCAAAGUGGGUGGUAAACUCCAUCUAAGGCUAAAUACUGGCACRAGACCGAUAGUGAAC